GAUGAACGCUGGCGGCGUGCCUAAUACAUGCAAGUCGAGCGAACGGACGAGAAGCUUGCUUCUCUGAUGUUAGCGGCGGACGGGUGAGUAACACGUGGAUAACCCACCUAUAAGACUGGGAUAACUUCGGGAAACCGGAGCUAAUACCGGAUCAUAUUUUGGACCGCAUGGUUCAAAAGUGAAAGACGGUCUUGCUGUCACUUAUAGAUGGAUCCGCGCUGCAUUAGCUAGUUGGUAAGGUAACGGCUUACCAAGGCAACGAUGCAUAGCCGACCUGAGAGGGGGACCGGCCACACUGGAACGGAGACACGGUCCAGACCCCUACGGGAGGCAGCAGUAGGGAAUUUUGCGCAAUGGGCGAAAGCCUGACGGAGCAACGCCGCGUGAGUGAUGAAGGUCUUCGGAUCGUAAAACUCUGUGAUUAGGGAAGAACAUAUGUGUAAGUAACUGUGCACAUCUUGACGGUACCUAAUCAGAAAGCCACGGCUAACUACGU
rnacentral:rRNA from 1 species